UGGAAGUUAGAAACUAGUGGCGGACGGGUGAGUAACGCGUGGGUAACCUGCCUCAUACAGGGGGAUAACAGUUAGAAAUGACUGCUAACACCGCAUAAUAUAGCGAAACCGCAUGAUUUUGCUAUCAAAAUAUUUAGUAGGUAUGAGAUGGGCCCGCGUCUGAUUAGCUAGUUGGUGGGGUAAAAGCCUACCAAGGCGACGAUCAGUAGCCGGCUUGAGAGAGUGACCGGCCACAUGGGACUGAGACACGGCCCAAACUCCUACGGGAGGCAGCAGUGGGGAAUAUUGGACAAUGGGGGAAACCCUGAUCCGGCGAACCGCCGCGUGAGUGAAGAAGUAUUUCGGUAUGUAAAGCUCUAUCAGCAGGGAAGAUAAUGACAGUACCUGACUAAGAAGCCCCGGCUAACUACGUGCCAGCCGCUGC
rnacentral:rRNA from 1 species